AAUUCUCAACUGCUUCAAUUUGAAGUGAAGUUGGACUUUGGAGGAUAAUUGCUGGCGCAACUUUGUUGCUUGUCAGCUCCUCUUGAAUAAAUGAGCCUACCUUUCCAUGGCAAAGUAACGACCGAUGUGAUAAUUAUCUACGUUGGACGUGAAAGACCCUACAAGGAACAGGGGCGUGUUUUUGGGGAAGGCAUGACAA
rnacentral:misc_RNA from 1 species